rnacentral:rRNA from 1 species
GACGAACGCUGGCGGCGUGCCUAAUACAUGCAAGUUGAGCGCUGAAGGUUGGUACUUGUACCAACUGGAUGAGCAGCGAACGGGUGAGUAACGCGUGGGGAAUCUGCCUUUGAGCGGGGGACAACAUUUGGAAACGAAUGCUAAUACCGCAUAAAAACUUUAAACACAAGUUUUAAGUUUGAAAGAUGCAAUUGCAUCACUCAAAGAUGAUCCCGCGUUGUAUUAGCUAGUUGGUGAGGUAAAGGCUCACCAAGGCGAUGAUACAUAGCCGACCUGAGAGGGUGAUCGGCCACAUUGGGACUGAGACACGGCCCAAACCCCUACGGGAGGGAGCAGUAGGGAAUCUUCGGCAAUGGAGGAAAGUCUGACCGAGCAACGCCGCGUGAGGGAAGAAGGGUUUCGGAUCGUAAAACUCUGUUGGUAGAGAAGAACGUUGGUGAGAGUGGAAAGCUCAUCAAGUGACGGUAACUACACAGAAAGGGACGGCUAACUACGUG